rnacentral:rRNA from 1 species
UACUAGAGUAGCACUCGCAUAUCAAUAAGCGGAGGAAAAGAAACUAACAAGGAUUCCCCUAGUAACGGCGAGUGAAGCGGGAAGAGCUCAAAUUUGAAAUCUUAAAGGGUUUCCCUUUACGAAUUGUAGUUUAAAGAAGUGUUUUCUGUUGAGGUUUUGGUAAAAGUUCUUUGGAAUAGGACAUCAUAGAGGGUGAGAAUCCCGUAUUUGACCUUUACUUUCAACUUUGUGAUACACUUUCAAAGAGUCGGAUUGUUUGGGAAUGCAGUCCAAAAUGGGUGGUAAAUUUCAUCUAAAGCUAAAUAUUGGCGAGAGACCGAUAGCGAACAAGUACCGUGAGGGAAAGAUGAAAAGAACUUUGAAAAGAGAGUUAAACAGUACGUGAAAUUGUCAAAAGGGAAGCGUUUGACACCAGUGUUGUUUUUCUGAAAAUCAAUUAGAGAACUGUUUAUGCUAAGCUGUUUAGACUUUAUCAGCUAUCUGUUUAGUUUUAGGCUUUUCUUUAAUGCACUUUUCAGUUAACAAGUCAACAUCAAUUUCUUUUGCUGUAAAAAAGCUUGAGGAAGGUGGCUUGAGAUUCGUCUUAAGUGUUUAUAGCCUCUUGCCUAUGCAGUCGGAGAGAUUGAGGUCUGCAGCGUAGAUCCUUCGGGGCUAAAUGCAUUUGUGCUAAGUUAUAGCAUUUUAUAGACAACUUGUUGACUAUGAUUUGUCUUGUAGCUUACUCGCUUAUGUUAUUUUACCUACGCUUAGGAUGUUGAGUAGCGACAUACGCAC